GCGGGGGUUGCCGAGCGGACAAAGGCGCGGGACUGAGGCUCCCGUCCCGAAGGGGUUCGUGGGUUCGAAUCCCACCCCCCGCACCA
rnacentral:tRNA from 1 species